GUCGAUGUUUCAGUUGGCAUCAGAAAGUAUCUCACACCAAUGUACAUUGCAAUACUAAUAACAGUGAUAGUAACAGGAGUAGCAAAAACUAACAAGUUUUUGGUUGGCUUGUUGUCGCGUUUUUUGGAGAUGGAUUGAAAUGAGUGAGCAGACCUCUCGGAUCGAUUGUUCAUGAAGGAAGAAUAGGAAGCAACCUCUUCUUUGGUAAGUGCUGGCUUGAGUGACUUUUUGACUGUUUGGAAGUGUCUAUCAGAUACAACUGUUGCAG
rnacentral:misc_RNA from 1 species